rnacentral:rRNA from 1 species
UGCAGUCGAGCGGACAGAUGGGGAGCUUGCUCCCUGAUGUUAGCGGCGGACGGGUGAGUAACACGUGGGUAACCUGCCUGUAAGACUGGGAUAACUCCGGGAAACCGGGGCUAAUACCGGAUGGUUGUUUGAACCGCAUGGUUCAAACAUAAAAGGUGGCUUCGGCUACCACUUACAGAUGGACCCGCGGCGCAUUAGCUAGUUGGUGAGGUAACGGCUCACCAAGGCAACGAUGCGUAGCCGACCUGAGAGGGUGAUCGGCCACACUGGGACUGAGACACGGCCCAGACUCCUACGGGAGGCAGCAGUAGGGAAUCUUCCGCAAUGGACGAAAGUCUGACGGAGCAACGCCGCGUGAGUGAUGAAGGUUUUCGGAUCGUAAAGCUCUGUUGUUAGGGAAGAACAAGUACCGUUCGAAUAGGGCGGUACCUUGACGGUACCUAACCAGAAAGCCACGGCUAACUACGUGCCAGCAGCCGCGGUAAUACGUAGGUGGCAAGCGUUGUCCGGAAUUAUUGGGCGUAAAGGGCUCGCAGGCGGUUUCUUAAGUCUGAUGUGAAAGCCCCCGGCUCAACCGGGGAGGGUCAUUGGAAACUGGGGAACUUGAGUGCAGAAGAGGAGAGUGGAAU